rnacentral:rRNA from 1 species
GGCUCAGAUUGAACGCUGGCGGCAGGCCUAACACAUGCAAGUCGAGCGGUAGAGAGGUGCUUGCAUCUCUUGAGAGCGGCGGACGGGUGAGUAAUGCCUAGGAAUCUGCCUAGUGGUGGGGGGAUAACGUUCGGAAACGGACGCUAAUACCGCAUACGUCCUACGGGAGAAAGCGGGGGGGAUCUUCGGACCUCGCGCCAUUAGAUGAGCCUAGGUCGGAUUAGCUAGUUGGUGAGGUAAUGGCUCACCAAGGCGACGAUCCGUAACUGGUCUGAGAGGAUGAUCAGUCACACUGGAACUGAGACACGGUCCAGACUCCUACGGGAGGCAGCAGUGGGGAAUAUUGGACAAUGGGCGAAAGCUGAUCCAGCCAUGCCGCGUGUGUGAAGAAGGUCUUCGGAUUGUAAAGCACUUUAAGUUGGGAGGAAGGGUAGUAACCUAAUACGUUGCUACUUUGACGUUACCGACAGAAUAAGCACCGGCUAACUUCGUG